GUAAUACAGAGCUUGGGAGGUAAGGUUAAAGUCCUGUUUGCCAUUAACUACAAAGCAACGCAGAGAGAGAUCAAGUCAAUCUUCUAGUGUGCCACCAGUGUUUGAAAUGUGUUCAUUAAACAAAGAAACUGCAGGAACAAUUGCAUUAAAUUGUACUUGAAGAUAAGAACACAAUCUACCCUUUAAAGAAGAACGAAAUCAGUUGUAUUGGAAACUUUUGGCCAAGAGGAAAGGUUUUCCUAGAAAAUCCUGCUUUACUAAGAAGAUCUUUUUCUGCUUCCUCAGUUUUCCAUCAUUCUUCAAGACUAAGUAUCGAUUACAUCUAAAAUAAGAAAAAGAAAAAGGAAGACAGAUUUCCUAACAAGCAAUAUCUGUUUAUCAUCCGAUGCCAAGAAACUGUACAGCAGCUUGGAGAAAUGGAGUGUUUUUUUCUGUGGCUUGGGAGUCCAGAUCAUUGCAGGAACUUCUGAAAUUGUGAAUCCAAAGAUUUUGUAAAAUUUAUGUCUUGAAAAUGAAAAUUUCGUUUUAAUUUAUUUAAUACUAAAGGUAGCACAGAACAAUUUUUCAGACUGAAAUCCUCAAAGAGGCAUUAAUGUAAUAAUGUGACCAGAAUUGUUUUCAUAUCUCUAACAUUGCUUCUCCAUUCAUACAGCUCACAGUCUGUCAGCUACGAGCUUUUAUUUGUUUGUAUACUUCUUCAAGAGUACAAGAGAUAAACCAAGAGAUAGCCCUUCCAGUAAUGUGAUCAGCCGUGUAUUAUUAACGAAUCACAAAUUAAAGUAAUUACUGAUGAUCAUGUAUAUAAUAUUCGUGAAAAAUAUCUACAAAGACAUUGCUUCUAUAGGAGUUCUGUAAAUAUGAGCCCAAAUUAACUAUAAAUUAUAAUCAGUUGACUGAACUCAAUGCAAUAAUUAAUUCAACAAAAUCCUUCACCACAAAAAUGUGUAGAAGAGCAAAGAUCUGAUUAUAGGUCAGCAGUUGUCCUGAUAUUUUCAGUAACUGAACCAUUUCUCUACCUCUGUAGAAAUAAAGAGGAAGCACACAGAGUCAAGAACUUUUCUCUCUGGCAGCAUUAUCACACUUAAAUCCCAGUCAGAACCAAAGUUAAUAAAAGGAGUGGGCUUCAUUACAAGUAUUAAUUGUAUUUUUAAAUACCCUGCAAUUCAAUCAAGAGUUAACUUUCACAAUCUUUCAAAACAUGGCUGUGCCACUGGAAAAAGCUAUGUGCCUGCAGAUGCAAUAGUAAAAGCUACUUAAAUAACUGCGUUUAAGGGCUUUCUGAAACUGGUUUGUGAUAUUUGAUGAAAAAUAACUAAAAAUUAUUUUCUCCCUAAUCAUUUGAGCCUAGUAGAAUAACCAUAAGAUAAAAAAAAAAAAAGCAUCUAUUCUCCUACCAAAUUUAUUUAAGUGUUGUCA